rnacentral:rRNA from 1 species
UACAGAGGGUGCGAGCGUUAAUCGGAAUUACUGGGCGUAAAGCGUGCGUAGACGGUUAUUUAAGUCGGGUGUGAAAGCCCCGGGCUUAACCUGGGAACUGCGUCUGGGACUGGUUUGCUAGAGUUCGGGAGAGGAGCGUGGAAUUCCCAGUGUAGAGGUGAAAUUCGUAGAUAUUGGGAAGAACACCGGUGGCGAAGGCGGCGCUCUGGACCGAGACUGACGCUGAGGCGCGAAAGCGUGGGGAGCAAACAGG